UCCAGAAGGUUCCAGCCCUGAGAUUGCCGGUUUCACCAUUUCUUUGCCAGUCUAAGUUGUUGUUUUUUCCCUUUUGGGUAUUAGAAAAAGGCAAAGUAUCAUAUCCCUGGGUUAGGUUGUAUAUUUUUCACUAAUCAGCAGAAGGUCACGUGACAAUAGGAGCAGAGACUGGGGUGAUGCAGCUGCUAAUCAAGGAUUGAGACCACCACCAGACGCUAAGAGAAGGGCAGGGAAGGAUGUGACCCACAGGCUCACCCUGAUUUCACACUUCUGGCCUCCAGAAUGGGUGCACGGAUGGUUAGAUCACAGGUGCAGCUGGCCCCAUGCCCUGGCACUGGCUUGCAGUCAUCCGCCUCCACUCAGCAUCCCUCUGAACACGUCAGCAACUGCCCUUGAAGUGCCUGCUCCCCAAGGAUUCUGCUAACUGUUGAUUGGACUGAACAGAACCAGGGACACCUGUUCUUCCAGCCUCGGCCACCCUCCAACCUCUUUCCCAGCUACAACCUUUGGCACCAAUCUCUCAGCCAUCCUCGGCCUCCAAGACCAGCUAGCACCACGCUCUGAUCUUAGCUCCUUAUUGCAGAUCAAUGGAGCUCCCGCAUUCCUCAGAAUUACUCCACUGUGGUGGAGGCCACCAUCAGCCACCCCAUCAACAUGCAUCUUCGGGCCUUCCACACCCACGUCUCUCUGGGUGUCUAUUUCCACCAGUGACCACAUGGCUCCGGAGGGCGUGGACCACUUCUUGGGUGAGUUGGAGGAAGAGAAAUAUGAUGCUGCAGAGUGUCUUUUGCAGAUGCACGUGGCUGCCGCCCACACUUCCAGGAUACGCAGGAGCCAUCCCAACAUGAGUGAGGUAUAGAUAAAACCUGGAUGCUCGGCAAGCCAUUAGGGUCCUGGAGAACAACCUGAACUGGGCCCUUUGGGAUCUGCAAGUUCUGAGUUCUGUCUGCACAGACGCCACCUCCGUGACUUUCUGGAGAGCCUCUUCCUGGAUGAGGAGGUGAAAAUCAUCAAGAAGAAGGGCGACCACCUGCCUAACCUCUGCAAGGAUCACCCUCCAGAACAACUGGGAGCCUCUCGGGCAAACUCCUGGUAUCACGGCUUCUGCCUGCAGCCACUAGGCAGCUUUUUAACUGCCCUGGCGCCCUCUCCCACCCUGGCGCCCUCUCCCAAACCACGGGCCAAAUGGAAACAAGAAAGCUUUUCGCAGGGAAAAAAAAUGUCGCUGGAAUGCAACAAAUUCAGGUUUCACUUUUUGAAACUUCCUGGAAUUUUCUUCCCAAAUAUUUUCGACCCACGGAUGGUUGAAUCUGUGUAUGGAGGGCCAACUGUAUGUAAAAUAAAAAUACAUACUGUGUGUAUGCAUAUGUAUAUAGACACGCAUUAUAUGUAAUUUUAUGGGUGAAGGGGGUCAAAGGGUUGAAAAAAUGAUUAAAAUUUUAAAAAGAAACAUGAUAAAACAGCUUGGCCUUUGUGACUCCCAAGUGCCUAAGGGCAGCAAUCAGGCAAACAGGAACCGUUUCUUAAGGAAAAGAAGGAUGACUCAGAGGGUGGAGCCAAGUAGAACCAUUCCCAGGGAGCAGACCUGGGCCCCAGUCAACACUCAUUCCUCAGCUCUGGAGCACGGAGAACUGCACCCGGCAGAAUUUCAGAAUUGUGAUGGGCCUGUGCCUGCGCUGCCUCCGCUUCUGAAUGGAGUACAUAUUGUGGUGCUGCAGUUCCCGUCUCACGUAUAUGCCAGGUACGGGGGGCAGAUGCCUUCUCUCUAGUCCCCAGGCCUUCAGAUCAAGAGGAGCCUGGCCCAAGUGCCUCAUCAACAACUGGUUGAGAAGCCAGACUUCUGCCCUGCCCUUGGGGCUGAAAUCGGGUGAGAAUCUGGGGAUCAGGGGAAGUGGGGGAAAACAUUCACUUUGCACAAGAGGGGGAGCUUGGAGACGGGGUAGGAGAUUGUCUCCAAAGAGGCUAGGCUCCAAAGAUGGCCCCGAAGGAAUCAUGGUGCCUGGCGCGCAUGCCUUUGCGCAGUCCCCGCCAGUGUCGUAUUUGGGCUGGUCCGGGGACCUGCUGUAACCAACAGAGGCACCAGGGUGACGCGCCAGCUCGGGGCUCACAAUUCAAGGGGCCAGGUGGUUUCAGCUUCCGCAGUUUGAGAAGCCCUGAACUACCAUGUGAGAAGUCUGGAAAGACCACGGGAGAGAAAGGGCUCAUGGAGAAGGAGAGGCCCCGAAACGACUUGCAAAGAGAGCUUCAGGCUUCCCUGUCUCACUGUAGCCAAACUUCUGGCCAUCCCCACCAAGCGCCAGGAGACACGAGAGUGCCAUCUUGGAUGCUCCAGUGGAGUCCCCAGUGGCCUACCACGGCACGACAUCAGAUGGAGCAGAAGGGACCCCAGGUGAGCCCAGCCAACCCAAGGCAUCAUGAGAGAGAAUAAAAUGGUAGCAUUCUUAAGCCUCUAUAUCGUGAGGUAACUUGUUAUGCAGCAGUGACUAAAGUCCAAUCUGAAAGUCAAGAACAGGCAAGCCCACUCAAGGUGCCCAUAUAAUCAGCUUCCAGAGGCAGAGAAGCGGGAGAGUGGAUGUGGAAGAGACAGAGAAGGUCAGAGUAAGAUGGAAACAGGGCCAAGGGCUACUCCCGGAGGAACCCCAACAGUUCACGGUAGAGCCUUUGCAGGAGGUCGAGCCUGCAGAGGGGACAGAGAAGGGGCAGCCGGAGAGGCAGAGAACACUAGGUUUGUGCACUGUCGGGGAAGCCAAGAGCAGAAGGUGAUAGGAGGAGGGAACAGUCCAUCAACUCUCACACCGCUCGGAUGUCAGGUGAGAGAGGACGAAAGAUUCGUCAAGACUGCUGGCCCUCAGGAGGGCUAUUUAAAGUUCUCCUUGGGACUUCCCCAGUGGCUCCAUGCUAAAGAAUCCGGCUGCCAAUGCAGGAGACAUGGGUUUGAUCCCUGAUCCGGGGAGAUCUCACAUGCUGUGGGGCAACAAAGCCCGUGCGGGACAACGACUGAGUCUGCGCUCUAGAGCCGGGGAGCCACAGCUGCUGAAGCCCGCGCGCUGAGAGCUCGCGCUCCGCAACCAGAGAAGCCCCCACAGCGAGAGGCCUUUCCCCACAGCUAGAGAGCAGCCCCUGCUCACGGCAACUAGAGAAAGCCCGUGCAGCCCCGAAGACCCAGCACGGCCAACAAUAAAUACAUACAUAAAAUUAUUUGUAAAACGUUCUCCUUGGGCUUAGUCCUCUACUUCUUCCCUUCGUGGGCAGUGGUAAAUGAACGGGUCUGUGAAAGCAGACCUGGCAAAGGGCCUGGGACUGUUCCCCCACAGCGAACAUCCGAACGGCCGGCAAACCCGUGAAGACGCGCUCAGCCCCGUUAGUCAUCAGGGACAUGCAAAUUCAAACCACAAUGAAAUUCCAUUUCACACCCACCCGACUGGCUAUAAAUAAAAAGCCAAACAAUACCAGGAUUUGGCAAGGGUGCUGAACAAACGGAACUCUCAGGCGUUGCUGGCAGGAAUGUAAGUUGGUACGACCAUCUUGGCAUCUUGGUUUGAUAUUAACUGGUGUGGCUGAGGAUGUGCGCGGUGCGUUGGGACAGGUUCCCCAGGAAACAGACUCUGAGGAGGAUUGCAUGCGGGCGCUUUACUGGAAAGUGCUGUCAGCAACACCACCUGCGAGGGAGUAGGAGAGACCUCCAGAGCUGUCCUCAAUUGACAGGGUGGGGG